UAAAAAAAUAGUUCCUUGCAUUUUAUUUAUACGAAUAAAAAUAAUGGAGUACAAUUACAAAUAUUCUGCGCAGUCGACAAAUGGUUUCAAAACAGUUUCGGGAGAAGUUACCACAGUUGCAGAAUAUGGCAAUAAAAUUAUUCAAAGCCCGUUAACCCUUUCGGUCACUGUGUACACAUUUGUGUACAUCAAUUAUCGGUAUCCUUACAUAAAUUCAGAAAGUAUUUUAGCUGCUUGUUCAUUGUGUCCACAUUUGUGUACAUUAUAAUGUUACAUGUAGUAUAAGUAACACCCUCUAAGGGUUUUCUACAAAAGUUUAUUUCUCUAAUUCUAACAGCUGGCGGUCACUGAGGGUGUAACAUAUGCAACAUUAUCUGUUAGAUCUUCUUGGCAUUUUGUCUGUGGUGGAAAUAGUUUAGACAAAUUAGAAACAAAUUAAUAAAAUGUGGUUUUGUGAGUGCAAACAGUGAUACAGUUUUUUUUCGAAAGCACAUUUUUUUGCUCUUUAAAAACACGUACACAUUUGUGUACACUGUGAGUCAGGGGAGUAAAAUUAGAAGAUAAACUUAACAGUACUUUUUUCUUUUUCAUAAUAGUAGACAGUUGAGUAUUAUAGGAUCCUUAGGAUAGAGGUUUAUAAUGAGUCGAAAUCGCCCGCUAACAGAAAGAUAACUAUUCGAUUUCAUAGAUGCCGGAUUAUCAGACAUUGGACUUAGCGACGACGAAUUCAAUGAAGAUGUCUUUGAUUUUGAUCCUGAAGCUACACAACUUGUUACCAGUAUUUAUUAUAUAUCUUGAACGUAGCAUAUACAUGUUUUACCUUGUAAAAUUACUGAAAAUGCUAUUGAGUGAUGAUAAGGAAGAGGCUGAGCGGCCAGAACAACCGAAGAUGAACCUGUCAGCACAUCCGCGAAAACUCCACAAAAGUCGAAGAAUAACUCUCAAAUAGGGGUGUUGAUAAGAUGAAGUUUCUUAUUACCUUAUAUCGGACAUUUAUCAGAUUUGCUGCACUUCAGAGCCUAUAUUGCUCAGGUUCUAUUAUUGUAAUCUUAGCGGAAAAAAAACAUUCACUAAAAAGAGGGGGGCGUCCAACAGCUGAUAGUCCAGGUCCUUCAUCGCCCAAAACUUUAAAAGUAACACCAGAAAUUGAACCGAUAGCCGAAGUUCGUUUGGACAGACUAGACCAUUUACCAUCCAUUGAUGUAAAAGACUUUGUAUCUAGUUGUAAAGUGCCUGGGUGUAAAGGACGAUCAAGAAUUUCAUGUCAAAAAUGUAAUGUUCACCUGUGCUUCACAAAAAAAGCAACUGUUUUUCAAUAUAUACAAAUACAUACGAAUACAAAGUAA